AUUGAACGCUGGCGGCAGGCCUAACACAUGCAAGUCGAGCGGAUGAAGGGAGCUUGCUCCUGGAUUCGGCGGCGGACGGGUGAGUAAUGCCUAGGAAUCUGCCUGGUAGUGGGGGAUAACGUCCGGAAACGGGCGCUAAUACCGCAUACGUCCUGAGGGAGAAAGUGGGGGAUCUUCGGACCUCACGCUAUCAGAUGAGCCUAGGUCGGAUUAGCUAGUUGGUGGGGUAAAGGCCUACCAAGGCGACGAUCCGUAACUGGUCUGAGAGGAUGAUCAGUCACACUGGAGCUGAGACACGGUCCAGACUCCUACGGGAGGCAGCAGUGGGGAAUAUUGGACAAUGGGCGAAAGCCUGAUCCAGCCAUGCCGCGUGUGUGAAGAAGGUCUUCGGAUUGUAAAGCACUUUAAGUUGGGAGGAAGGGCAGUAAGUUAAUACCUUGCUGUUUUGACGUUACCAACAGAAUAAGCACCGGCUAACUUCGUG
rnacentral:rRNA from 1 species